UACGUAGGGUCCAAGCGUUAUCCGGAAUCACUGGGCGUAAAGGGCGCGUAGGUGGCCCGGUCAGUCUUUGGUGAAAGCGCGGGGCUCAACCCUGCGUCGGCCAGGGAUACUGCCGCGGCUCGAGCACUGUAGAGGCAGGCGGAAUUCCGGGUGUAGCGGUGGAAUGCGUAGAGAUCCGGAAGAACACCGGUGGCGAAGGCGGCCUGCUGGGCAGUUUGGCUGACACUGAGGCGCGACAGCGUGGGGAGCAAACAGG
rnacentral:rRNA from 1 species